UGCAUGUAUCAUUUUUGUAUCUGAAGUUAGGAAUAUUGACUAUGCAUCUAUAUUACAAAUGUGUUUAUACAUGGGGAACACCCACUAGACAAAAGGCUCUCAGAUGGUUGGCUAGGAAGGACCCAUUCAGGUUAAUGAGCCAUUAGGAGAAAACAAUAGGCCUUAGAAGGUGAGCCUUCCUGAGGAUGCUACAGAAAGCCUCCAAGUUAUGGCUGCUGUGACACUAGAGGGACAUGUGACCAGAACUCCAGCAUGGGAGAUCAAUAUUUUUCCAGUGGCUGGCUUGGGAACCAAGCUUUGAAACAAAGGGUAUAUCUACACUGCAAAGUUAUCAACAAAACUUUUGUCUUUCAUGGGUACUAAAAAAAAAAAAAAAAAGCAGCCCCCCUACCCCCAUGAAAGACAAAAGGUCUGCCAAUGCAAGUGGCAGUGUGAACAUGGCUUUGUGGGUAGGAGCACUCUCCUGCGGACAAAGCUAAUGCCACUUACGGAGCUGGAAGUAUUUUGUCAGCAAAAGUACCAACAAAGAGCCUUUACAUACGCUGACUUUUAGCGACAAGGCUGUAUCAACGCAGCCUUGUCGCUAAAACCUGCAUGGUGUAGACAAGCCCAAAGGGUUCCUGCCACAUGCAAAAGCUAUUGAAGGCAGGGGAGUGACAUCAUUGUGGUUCUUCUCUGACUCCCCACCCAAAGACUCCUGGAAACACUUGAGGAACAAAGACUCAACUGGGGGAAGUGCUGGACCCAAGCUAAAGUGUCACCUGGUGACUCCAAACUGUACAACAUAGCCAAUAGAAGAAUAGACUUCCACACAGGACCUUGGCAAUGUGCCUCUUUUGUGUACACAUACCUAGUGUAAUUGCCUCUUAGAAACUGAUUAUUUUCUUGCUCUAUGUCCACUCAAUGCACAGAUGAUCUUGGGAGCACAGCCUUCCUCUUUGUUAUUGGCGGCAGAAUGGCUGCGCAGAAUUAGAAAGCGGCCAAGAUGAACUAAGGAGGACUUCAUGCGUGAGAUUAUGAUGCACUCAGCCACUGAGAAAAAAGAAUUGAAGGAGUGGUGGGACAGCGAGAAGAGGGACCAAAAGGAGAACGCGGAACACCAGAAAGAAGCCACGGAGCGGCUCUUAAGAAGUUAUGGAGCACCAAGCGGACAUGCUCCAGGCGAUACUAGCUCUUCAAACUAAGCAGCUCUGCGCCCGCCCUCCCCUGAAGCUGCUGUCGCAAAACUCUUUCCCAUGCGCUCCCCACACAUCGCCAAUACACUGAUAUCAACCUCCUGGCUCCACACUCUACCCGCAGCUCCACUCCUCCCUCCUCACAGUCCAGCAGUGUGGACUCCCACUACCCACUGCACUCAAAACCCAUCCCUCUGCAGUUUGGCCUUGCUGAAGUACCCGCUGCAUUGUAUUCCAAAGGAGAAGGUUGGGUAUGAUCCUUCGACGUACACAAAUCUGUAGCCAUCC